CAGUAGCCACGGUAAUACGAAGGGCGCAAGCGUUAAUCGGAAUUACUGGGCGUAAAGCGUGCGUAGGCGGUGAGUUAAGUCUGCUGUGAAAUCCCCGGGCUCAACCUGGGAAUGGCAAUGGAUACUGGCAAGCUAGAGUGUGUCAGAGGAUGGUGGAAUUCCCGGUGUAGCGGUGAAAUGCGUAGAGAUCGGGAGGAACAUCAGUGGCGAAGGCGGCCAUCUGGGACAACACUGACGCUGAGGCACGAAAGCGUGGGGAGCAAACAGGAUUAGAUACCCGCGUAGUCCCUGUCUCUUAUAC
rnacentral:rRNA from 1 species